rnacentral:rRNA from 1 species
UACGUAGGGCGCAAGCGUUGUCCGGAAUUAUUGGGCGUAAAGAGCUCAUAGGCGGUUUGUCGCGUCGGAUGUGAAAGCCCGGGGCUUAACCCCGGGUCUGCAUUCGAUACGGGCAGACUAGAGUGUGGUAGGGGAGAUCGGAAUUCCUGGUGUAGCGGUGAAAUGCGCAGAUAUCAGGAGGAACACCGGUGGCGAAGGCGGAUCUCUGGGCCAUUACUGACGCUGAGGAGCGAAAGCGUGGGGAGCGAACAGG